AACGAACGCUGGCGGCAUGCCUAACACAUGCAAGUCGAACGAGACCUUCGGGUCUAGUGGCGCACGGGUGCGUAACGCGUGGGAACCUGCCCUUAGGUUCGGAAUAACUCCCCGAAAGGGGUGCUAAUACCGGAUAAUGUCUUCGGACCAAAGAUUUAUCGCCUUUGGAUGGGCCCGCGUUGGAUUAGCUAGUUGGUAGGGUAAAAGCCUACCAAGGCGACGAUCCAUAGCUGGUCUGAGAGGAUGAUCAGCCACACUGGGACUGAGACACGGCCCAGACUCCUACGGGAGGCAGCAGUGGGGAAUAUUGGACAAUGGGCGAAAGCCUGAUCCAGCAAUGACGCGUGAGUGAUGAAGGCAUUAGGGUUGUAAAGCUCUUUUACCCGGGAUGAUAAUGACAGUACCGGGAGAAUAAGCUCCGGCUAACUCCGUG
rnacentral:rRNA from 1 species